GACGAACGCUGGCGGCGUGCUUAACACAUGCAAGUCGGACGGUGAAGCGCUUUCCUUUUUGGUUGGUGUGGAUGAGUGGCGAACGGGUGAGUAACACGUGAGUAACCUGCCCCCUUCUUCUGGAUAACCGCAUGAAAGUGUGGCUAAUACGGGAUAUUCUGCGCCUGCUGCAUGGUGGGUGUGGGAAAGAUUGUGCCUUUGGGUGUUUUCGGUGGGGGAUGGGCUCGCGGCCUAUCAGCUUGUUGGUGGGGUGAUGGCCUACCAAGGCGGUGACGGGUAGCCGGCCUGAGAGGGUGGACGGUCACACUGGGACUGAGACACGGCCCAGACUCCUACGGGAGGCAGCAGUGGGGAAUAUUGCACAAUGGGCGCAAGCCUGAUGCAGCGACGCCGCGUGAGGGAGGGAGGCCUUCGGGUUGUGAACCUCUUUCGCCAGUGAAGCAGGCCUGCUCCUUGUGGGUGGGUUGACGGUAGCUGGAUAAGAAGCGCCGGCUAACUACGUG
rnacentral:rRNA from 1 species